GACGAACCGUGCGAACGUUAUUCGGAAUCACUGGGCUUAAAGCGCGUGUAGGCGGGACGGCACGUCGGUCGCUGAAAGCCCCCGGCUCAACCGGGGAACGGGCGCGGAUACGACCUUCCUGGAGGGGCGUAGGGGGACCUGGAACUUCCGGUGGAGCGGUGAAAUGCGUUGAGAUCGGAAGGAACGCCCGUGGCGAAAGCGAGGUCCUGGACGCCUACUGACGCUGAGACGCGAAAGCCAGGGGAGCGAACGGG
rnacentral:rRNA from 1 species